AUUGAACGCUGGCGGCAGGCCUAACACAUGCAAGUCGAGCGAGCGGCGGACGGGUGCGUAAUGUAUGGGGACUGCCCGAUCGAGGGGGAUAACUCCUGGAAACGGCAGCUAAUACCGCAUACUAUCGGAUCAACUAUAUGGGAUUAGCUAGUUGGUGGGGUAAAGGCUCACCUAGGCGACGAUCUCUAGCUGGUCUGAGCGGAUGAUCAGCCACACUGGGACGGUGACACGGCCCAGACUCCUCCGGAGGCAGCAGUGGGGAAUAUUGCACAAUGGGAGCAAGCCUGAUGCAGCCAUGCCGCGUGUAUGAAGAAAGCCUUAGGGUUGUAAAGUACUUUCAGCGGGGAGGCGUUACCCGCAGAAGAAGCACCGGCUAACUCCGUGCCAGCCGCCGCGGUAAUAC
rnacentral:rRNA from 1 species